UACGUAGGGGGCAAGCGUUGUCCGGAAUCAUUGGGCGUAAAGCGCACGUAGGCGGCCCUGUAAGUCCGUUGUGAAAGUCAAAGGCUCAACCUUUGAAUGCCGAUGGAUACUGCAGGGCUAGAGUCCGGAAGAGGCGAGUGGAAUUCCUGGUGUAGCGGUGGAAUGCGCAGAUAUCAGGAAGAACACCAAUAGCGAAGGCAGCUCGCUGGGACGGUACUGACGCUAAGGUGCGAAAGCGUGGGGAGCGAACAGG
rnacentral:rRNA from 1 species